rnacentral:rRNA from 1 species
GUGCCAGCAGCCGCGGUAAUACCGGCAGCUCAAGUGGUCGUCGCUUUUAUUGGGCCUAAAACGUCCGUAGCCUGUUUGGUAAAUCUGUGGGUAAAUCAACCAGCUUAACUGGUUGAAUUCCGCAUAGACUGCCAGACUAGGGACCGGGAGAGGUGUGGGGUACUCUAGGGGUAGGGGUAAAAUCCUGUCAUCCUUAGAGGACCACCAGUUGCGAAGGCCCCCCACCGGAACGGAUCCGACGGUCAGGGACUAAGCCUAGGGGCACGAACCGGAUUACAUACCCGGGUAGUCCUAGGUGUAAACGCUGUGAACUUGGUGUCGGGGAUCCGUCAUGGGUCCCCGGUGCCGGAGUGAAGAUGUUAAUUUUAUUGCCUGGGGAGUACGGUCGCAAGGCUGAAACUUAAAGGAAUUGGCGGGGGAGCACUGCAACGGGAGGAGCGUGCGGUUUAAUUGGAUUCAACGCCGGAAAACUCACCAGGGCCGACUGUUAUAUGAAGACCAGUGUGAUGAACUUGUCGGAUUUUCAGAGAGGUGGUGCAUGGCCGUUGUCAGUUCGUACUGUAAAGCGUUCUGUUAAGUCAGAUAACGAACGAGACCCCUCAUCUCUAUUUUGCUACCUGUCUCUCCGGAGACAGCGCACUAUAGGGAGACCGCUGGUGUUAAACCAGAGGAAGGCGAGGGCAACGACAGGUCAGUAUGCCCCGAAUGUCCUGGGCUACACGCGCGCUACAAAGGACGGGACAAUGGGAAGCCAGGCCGAGAGGCCGAGCUAACCCGAAACCCGUUCGUAGUUCGGAUUGAGGGCUGUAACUCGCCCUCAUGAAGCCGGAUUCGGUAUUAAUCGUCUUUCAAAAUAGCACGGUGAAUAUGGCCCUUCUCCUUGCACACACCGCCCGUC